rnacentral:tRNA from 1 species
CCGUGGCUCAGUCGGUAGAGCAGCUGAUUCGUAAUCAGCAGGUCGCCGGUUCGAAUCCGGCCGG